rnacentral:rRNA from 1 species
GAUGAACGCUAGCGGCGGGCUUAAUACAUGCAAGUCAAGGGGUAGCAAUACACCGGCGUACGGGUGCGUAACGCGUAUGGAACCUGCCCUUAUCUGGGGGAUAACUCGGGGAGACUCGAGCUAAUACCGCAUAAGAUAGUAGAAUGGCAUCAUUCAGCUAUUAAAGAUUUAUCGGAUAAGGAUGGCCAUGCGUAAGAUUAGAUAGUUGGUGGGGUAACGGCUCACCAAGUCUACGAUCUUUAGGGGCUCUGAGAGGAGAAUCCCCCACACUGGCACGGAGAUCCGGGCCAGACUCAUACGGGAGGCAGCAGUAGGGAAUAUUGGGCAAUGGGCGGAAGCCUGACCCAGCCACGCCGCGUGCAGGAAGAAGGCCCUCUGGGUUGUAAACUGCUUUUGAUUGGGAAGAAAGCAUCUCAUGCGUGGGAUUUUGACGGUACCAAUCGAAUAAGCCACGGCUAACUACGUGCCAGCCGCCGCCGUAACAC